rnacentral:rRNA from 1 species
GGGCUUGACAUCCCACGAACCUGCCUGAAAGGGCGGGGUGCCCGCAAGGGAGCGUGGAGACAGGUGGUGCAUGGCUGUCGUCAGCUCGUGUCGUGAGAUGUUGGGUUAAGUCCCGCAACGAGCGCAACCCUCACCCCUAGUUGCCACCGGGUAAUGCCGAGCACUCGAGGGGAACUGCCAGCGUCAAGCUGGAGGAAGGCGGGGAUGACGUCAAGUCAUCAUGCCCCUUACGCCCUGGGCUACACACGUGCUGCAAUGGCCGGUACAAAGGGACGCGAGACUGCAAAGUGGAGCUAAUCCCAAAAAACUGGUCUAAGUUCAGAUUGCAGUCUGCAACUCGACUGCAUGAAGGAGGAAUCGCUAGUAAUCGCGCAUCAGCACGGCGCGGUGAAUACGUUCCCGGGCCCUGUACACACCGCCCGUCACACCACGAAAGCUGUCUGUACUCGAAGUCGCUGAG